GCCUCCGUGGCGCAGUUGGUAGCGUGAUGGCCCCGCAAGGCCAAAGGUCGCAGGUUCGAGUCCUGCCGGAGGUG
rnacentral:tRNA from 1 species